rnacentral:rRNA from 1 species
UCAAAUUUGAAAUCUGGUACCUUCGGUGCCCGAGUUGUAAUUUGGAGAGGGCAACUUUGGGGCCGUUCCUUGUCUAUGUUCCUUGGAACAGGACGUCAUAGAGGGUGAGAAUCCCGUGUGGCGAGGAGUGCGGUUCUUUGUAAAGUGCCUUCGAAGAGUCGAGUUGUUUGGGAAUGCAGCUCUAAGUGGGUGGUAAAUUCCAUCUAAAGCUAAAUAUUGGCGAGAGACCGAUAGCGAACAAGUACAGUGAUGGAAAGAUGAAAAGAACUUUGAAAAGAGAGUGAAAAAGUACGUGAAAUUGUUGAAAGGGAAGGGCAUUUGAUCAGACAUGGUGUUUUGUGCCCUCUGCUCCUUGUGGGUAGGGGAAUCUCGCAUUUCACUGGGCCAGCAUCAGUUUUGGUGGCAGGAUAAAUCCAUAGGAAUGUAGCUUGCCUCGGUAAGUAUUAUAGCCUGUGGGAAUACUGCCAGCUGGGACUGAGGACUGCGACGUAAGUCAAGGAUGCUGGCAUAAUGGUUAUAUGCCGCCCGUCUUGAAACACGGACCAAGGAGUCUAACGUCUAUGCGAGUGUUUGGGUGUAAAACCCAUACGCGUAAUGAAAGUGAACGUAGGUUGGGGCCUCGCAAGAGGUGCACAAUCGACCGAUCCUGAUGUCUUCGGAUGGAUUUGAGUAAGAGCAUAGCUGUUGGGACCCGAAAGAUGGUGAACUAUGCCUGAAUAGGGUGAAGCCAGAGGAAACUCUGGUGGAGGCUCGUAGCGGUUCUGACGUGCAAAUCGAUCGU